GGUAAUACGAAGGGACCUAGCGUAGUUCGGAAUUACUGGGCUUAAAGAGUUCGUAGGUGGUUGAAAUAGUUGGUGGUGAAAUCCCAGAGCUUAACUCUGGAACUGCCAUCAAAACUUUUCAGCUAGAGUAUGAUAGAGGAAAGCAGAAUUUCUAGUGUAGAGGUGAAAUUCGUAGAUAUUAGAAAGAAUACCAAUUGCGAAGGCAGCUUUCUGGAUCAUUACUGACACUGAGGAACGAAAGCAUGGGUAGCGAAGAGGAUUAGAUACCCUCGUAGUCCAUGCCGUAAACGAUGUGUGUUAGACGUUGGAAAUUUAUUUUCAGUGUCGCAGGGAAACCGAUAAACACACCGCCUGGGGAGUACGACCGCAAGGUUAAAACUCAAAUGAAUUGACGGGGACCCGCACAAGUAGUGGAGCAUGUGGUUUAAUUCGAAGAUACGCGCAGAACCUUACCAACACUUGACAUGUUCGUCGCGACUCUAAGAGAUUAGAGUUUUCGGUUCGGCCGGACGAAACACAGGUGCUGCAUGGCUGUCGUCAGCUCGUGUCGUGAGAUGUUGGGUUAAGUCCCGCAACGAGCGCAACCCUCACUUUUAGUUGCCAUCAUUAAGUUGGGCACUCUGAAAGAACUGCCAGUGAUAAGCUGGAGGAAGGUGGGGAUGACGUCAAGUCCUCAUGGCCCUUACGUGUUGGGCUACACACGUGCUACAAUGGUAUCUACAACAGGAAGCAAGACUGCGAAGUUAAGCAAAUCCCUAAAAGAUACCUCAGUUCGGAUUGCACUCUGCAACUCGAGUGCAUGAAGCUGGAAUUACUAGUAAUCGUGGAUCAGCGUGCCACGGUGAAUGCGUUCCCGGGUCUUGUACACACCGCCCGUCACACCAUGGGAGUUGGUUCUACCUUAAGGCAAGGUUUUAAACCCUUGACCACGGUAUAGUCAGCGACUGGGGUG
rnacentral:rRNA from 1 species